GUUAUUUUGGCAGAUUAGUGCUAUGGAUUUAGAAUCUUUAAAAGUGAGUGGGAUCACAAAUAAUA
rnacentral:tRNA from 1 species